AUUGAACGCUGGCGGCAGGCCUAACACAUGCAAGUCGAACGGUAACAGGAAGAAGCUUGCUUCUUUGCUGACGAGUGGCGGACGGGUGAGUAAUGUCUGGGAAACUGCCUGAUGGAGGGGGAUAACUACUGGAAACGGUAGCUAAUACCGCAUAACGUCGCAAGACCAAAAAGGGGGACCUUCGGGGCCUCUUGCCAUCGGAUGUGCCCAGAUGGGAUUAGCUAGUAGGUGGGGUAACGGCUCACCUAGGCGACGAUCCCUAGCUGGUCUUAGAGGAUGACCAGCCACACUGGAACUGAGACACGGUCCAGACUCCUACGGGAGGCAGCAGUGGGGAAUAUUGCACAAUGGGCGCAAGCCUGAUGCAGCCAUGCCGCGUGUAUG
rnacentral:rRNA from 1 species